rnacentral:rRNA from 1 species
UCAGCUCGUGUCGUGAGAUGUUGGGUUAAGUCCCGCAACGAGCGCAACCCUUGUCUCUAGUUGCUACGAAAGGGCACUCUAGAGAGACUGCCGGUGACAAACCGGAGGAAGGUGGGGAUGACGUCAAGUCCUCAUGGCCCUUAUGGGUAGGGCUUCACACGUCAUACAAUGGUCGGAACAGAGGGUUGCCAACCCGCGAGGGGGAGCUAAUCCCAGAAAACCGAUCGUAGUCCGGAUUGCACUCUGCAACUCGAGUGCAUGAAGCUGGAAUCGCUAGUAAUCGCGGAUCAGCAUGCCGCGGUGAAUACGUUCCCGGGUCUU